AACGAACGCUGGCGGCAGGCCUAACACAUGCAGGUCGAACGCCCUAGCAAUAGGGAGUGGCGCACGGGUGCGUAACGCGUGGGAAUAUACCCUUCACCGCGGAAUAACGUUUGGAAACGAACGCUAAUACCGCAUAAUGACCCCGGUCCAAAGAUUUAUCGGUGAAGGAUUAGCCCGCGUUAGAUUAGCUAGUUGGUGAGGUAAUGGCUCACCAAGGCUACGAUCUAUAGCUGGUCUGAGAGGAUGAUCAGCCACACUGGGACUGAGACACGGCCCAGACUCCUACGGGAGGCAGCAGUGAGGAAUAUUGGACAAUGGGGGCAACCCUGAUCCAGCCAUGCCGCGUGAGUGAAGAAGGCCUUCGGGUUGUAAAGCUCUUUCAGUUGUGAAGAUAAUGACGGUAGCAACAGAAGAAGCCCCGGCUAAAUUCGUGCCAGCCACCGCCGUAA
rnacentral:rRNA from 1 species